rnacentral:lncRNA from 1 species
UAAUCCCCAACAUUUUAGCCUUUUUUAUUUUGGGUUGCGGCCUUUUACUUUCUAUUGAUUUUCUUUUUUGGCCAUUUUAUUUUUGUACUAGUCCCACAUGUCAUGCUGAUCUCAAAAUUGGUCCCACACAUCAGAAAUUUCAAAAUAUGUCAAACAACCAUUAUAACUUGAACCCCUUUUCCAAGUUACCAUUUCUGGGGUAUUCAAAUCACAUACACAAUCAUUAUUUUGAACAAUCCAAAGAGCAAACGGAAUUCGUCCAAAACAACACUACAUUAGUCUAUUACAAUCGUUACAUUAUACUACAACCCAAAUAAGCCUACUACUGCCUACAAUUACAACACAUAAUAUGCUACUCUUUGCUGAUAUGCUUCAGAGCUUCGGACUUGGAUUCGCACUUCACCUGUGAAAAAAAUAAGAAUAAACAUAUCAGAAUAAGAAACAGUGGUCAAUGAGUGAUCCAAUAACUUAGAAGCAAUAAUUGACAGGAAAUGAAAUGUACAUAAAUAGUAUGACUAACAUUAAUCAGUAUGUGUUUCUGGAGCAACUAAAAUGUUCUCAAACAACAACACAAUCAUACAGCAGAACUGUAGUUGAAAAAAAUCUGCAAAAACAAAUGCUGCUGUUGCUCCUCUGCAGUCUGAAUGUACAGGGCAAAUUCAAUCAAGUUCAUUGUUAAGCUACCACCAUUCGGGUUAAGGAGCAUUGUGCUCAAAUCUCAUCUCGAAAGCAUAAUUCCUCCUAGACAUCAAACAUUUCUGACAGUUUUAAGCUACCACCAUUCUCAAGAGUGAACAUUGAAGGAGGUGUUUAUGUUUAACAAACAAAACAGUAUAUACAACUAGCUAGGUUCAUUCAUUUGAACUUUUUUAUUAAAAUGGUAGUUGGACUGAGAGAUUAUUUUGAGAUUGUUACUUAUUAAAAUAACUAAGGAUUAAAUGUUAAUGCAUUGAUUGGUCCAGAAUGUUCUUUAACACCACCAAUCUUUUCUUCUAAAGUCUAAAAUUAACAACAAAAUCCUGUUACAGGAAUUGACAAAAUAUACGCAAACAUAAAGUAACUUCCCAUAGGAAGUCAGCACUCAUCUGUGUAAAUAUAUGCACAGGAAUCUAGCUCGCCUUGUGGAAAAAUUGGCCUCAAAUUUACCCGCAUGACCAUCUAUCAUAGUAACAUUCACAAUAAAAUCUGCUUUAGUCAAUUUACUCUUAAAAUUCAGUCAACAACUACUCUGCAUAUGUGCUGGAGAUCAAUAUCAACAGCUACUCUACUACUCUCCAUAUUUUCUAAGAUGUUUCCAGGAUAAGAAUAAACCUAUAAAGGACAUGAAACUUUACAGAAACUAAAACUGAAUUCGUGCAACUUCUAUACGCAAAUUAUGAAAGCCAUUGAUUUGAAUUGAACUGAUCACAUUAAACUGAACCCGCAACUGAAAUUCUACUACUACACUAGUGUGUGUGGCGGCACUUACGAGCACGGUACUGUGGGCUAUCCCCGGGCAACAUGGGCGACGGAGAUCCCGGGGCGGGCGCCGGAGAUGGGCCAAGACAAACGUUGUAGCCGAGUGCUGCAAGAAGAAAAACAUCUGUAUAAAGUUAUAGAUGAUCCAUCAUGGUACAUCAAUUGCAUCAAAUUGAAACCUACACAAAUAAAAUUGACUGAGAGCACCAACUCAUCCUCUACACUUCAACGAUAGCUCGAUUAUUUUUUAAAUCUACCAGCAUACAGACCAAAUCAUAACAUGGGUGCAUCGAUCUACAUGGAUCAAUGUGAAACUGCAUGAAGCAUCCGUGAACAUCAGUUAUACAACACUAGAAAAACUGCAUGCACAAUUAUUAUUCCCUCUCGAAAGAAAAAACAUACCAAUCCAACCUAAGGUUGUUAGAAUCAGUUCGCUUGAGCCUUAAUACUUUCUACCUCCAGGAUUAACACCUACUAGCACUUGAUGUAGGUAGGAUUAACACUGAACUCUAUUAACACUGAACUCUCUGAUUCAGGAAACACCUAGGGUAGGAUAAUAUCGGUUCAGAAAUGGCUAUUUAGACAUAAUACAUAGACAAGUUGACACGUUGACAAAGGCUGGGCUUGCGUUGGUUUUUCCCUUGAAGAGGAAACGGUGAUGCAGCACAGGAGCAGUAAGUAUUUCCCUCAGUUUGAGAACCAAGGUAUCCAUCCAGAAGGAGGGUCUCGUCAAGUCCACAGUACCUGUGCAAACACAAACAAGCUUGCACCCAACGCUUCAAAGGGGUUGUCAAUCCCUUCAAGAUUGUUUGCAAAGUGAGAUCUGAAGGCGGAAAGUGCAACGAAGUAAAAUGUGUAAGGUUGAAAAUAUGGUAUGGAGUAGACCCUGGGGGGCAUAGUGUUCACUAGAGGCUUCUCUCAAAAUAGCAAGUGUUACGGUGGGUGGACAAAUUACUUUCGAGCAAUUGAUAGAACCGCGCAAAGUCAUGACGAUAUCUAAGGCAAUGAUCAUACAUAUAGGCAUCACGUACGAGACAAGUAGACUGAUACUUUCUGCAUCUACUGCUAUUACUCCACACAUCGACCACUAUCCAUCAUGCAUCAUAGAUAAUCUGAUCAUAAAUCCACAAUUCAUCGGAUCUCGACAAACACACCGCAAAAGAAGAUUACAUCGGAUAGAUUUCCAUGAAGGUCAUAGAGAACUUUGUAUUGAAGAUCCAAGAGAGAGAAGAAGCCAUCUAUUUACUAGCUAUGGACCCGUAGGUCUAUGGUGAACUACUCACGCAUCAUCGAAGAGGUCAUGGUGUUGAUGAAGAAGCCCUCCGUAUCCGAAUCCCCCCUUCGGCAGGGCACCAGAACGUGCCCAGAUGGGAUCUUGCGGAGACAGAAUAUUGCGGCGGCGGAAAAGUACUUUCGAUGAUCUCCAGAUUUUUUCUGGAAUUGAUGGGAAUAUAUAGACGAAAGACCUAGGGCAAAGGGCGUCGAGGGGGCCCACAAGCCUGGAUGGCACGGCCUCCCCCCCCCUCUCCGCGGGGUGGGGGCUUGUGGGGCCCCUCAGGCUCCCCUGCCUUGGCUCCCAAGCUUCCCGAUCUUCUUCCGUUCCAGAAAAAAUAUUUUCGGGGAUUUUCUUCCGUUUGGACUCCGUUUCAAAAUGUAACAUCCCAAAAUAUUCUCUUAAUUUCGUUUAUAUUUGUUUUCGUUGUUUAUUUUCAAAAAAUAAAAAGGCACUAUUCACCACGAAACACUGUUCAUCCGAGAAAAAAAAGAGGGCUGGCCGGAAUUGCGUGUGGGGUGACCGAAAUUUACUUGGCCCAUGGGCAUUUGGUCCCUCCUUUUCUCCUCUUUACGUAUAUGUUUAGUCUCACAUUGCCUAGCUAUUGACCUUUAGACCUUCUUUCCACCUAUAAAUAUAGACCCAUAGGAGCAUCCAAAAAUCAUCUAUUUCUGGUUAAAUCAAUCUUUUGGUUUGACUAGGUUUAUUAAAUAAAAAUGUUUUCUUCUCUUCGGCGGGAUUUCUCGAAGUCGUCUCCUCUUUGGCAUUAUCUCUUCUCUGCAUUCUAAAGGUAUUUCUCUUCAUAUUGUUCUUUUAUACUCACGUAGUUUAUUAUUUCUAGACUAGUAUUCCUACACUAGUAUACGGUAGAGUAAUUAGAAUUAUCAAUUAGUCUCUGUAUUUACACAUUAGUCCUAGAAAUUUUUUAGACAUAAUACUUUUCUUUCGUAAAACAGCUUGGCCCUGAUUUUUCAAAUAGCCAUAACUUUUUACUCGUUUAUUCGAAUUAGAUGAAACCAACGCCUAGAGUUUCGUCUUGAUCCUACCUAUCCGGUGAACCUAUCAUAUCAGGGUUUUUUUUUAAAUUUCAAAUUUCGAAUUUUGUUCACACUCAUAUUCAAACUUCUUUUGAUCAUAACUUUUUAUCCAUAGCUUCGUAUUAGAUGAAUCCAAUUGCGUCGGAUUCGUAUCAAAGUAAUCUUCCCGUUUGUAUCAUUAGUUAUAACUUUUCAACUUAUAAUUUUGAUCAAAUCAGAUUUAUCUAUUAGUGUCCAAAAGUGUUCACGUCGUUCUAAGCUGAUUCAAUGUUAUAUUGAAUUAUUUGUAUCUUUUGAUCCGCUAUUUCAAAUCUAGUAAUUCCUUUUUUCUACAUGUUCAUAUUGAUCUCCUAUAUCCAUUAACAUCAAUAGUUUCGACCUUUGAACCUUACAAAUUUGAGCGAUUCAAAUUUUUAUUCGAACAUUCAUUUGAUUUUAUCUUGCAAAUCUUAACACCUUUUCAAUUGAUUCCUUUUACCCCUAAAUACUCAUGUCAUACAUUUUUGUACAUAACCAUCGUACUUCAGUUCAACUUCUUUUGACCUUCUGAAUGCAAAUUCAAUUCAUACUUCAAUUCGCUAUAACUUGCGUUGUAGUGCUCCAUUUCAAUUAAUUUUUAUUUCGCAACUGCAUUCUUAUGCCCUAUGCAAUUUGUCAUUCAUGGUGUUCUCCGCAUACUUGGGAUCGUCUUUCAUAGUAUCUCCACCCUAAGAGUAUAUAUCAAUAGUUCGUCGUCCAUUAACUCUUUUGAUCUCAUUCCUGCACCUUCACUUUACAACACACUUAGAACCUAUUUUUUUAUUAAACCUUAGUAUGUUUUUAUUUUGCACCAAGACAUGUUUUGUUCUUAUGUUCUUUUGGUUCUUCCUUUUGGCAUGAAUGUUUAUUGAAUGCUAUUCAUUUACGAUAGAUUGCUCGGAGUGUGAUGAGUAGAAUUAUCAGGAUUAUGAGAGUGACUAUCUUCAUCAAGUAAUACCAGGCAAGUCACGUUGAUCAUAUUAUUACCUAUGUUUUAUAUGCAUUGUAGUUCUACCUUUCUUCACCCAAUUGCAUGCAAAGUAGGUACUUGGAAAUUUUGGAUCUUGAUGUAGUAUCAUGUGUUAUGCACCCACCCCUUGUUACUUUGGCAGGGACGUUAUUAUGCUAUGCUCCUAGUAGACGGGGUUUUGGUUGAGUGUUUACCAUGAGUGUUGUGAGAACUUAAUAAUCAAGACCUGAAGAACUCCAAGACUUGCAAGACCUCAGAACGAAAUAUACCUCUGGGUGAAGGACGGUUUAGAUGGGCUCCCUGGAGAAACCAGUGGACGACCCGGGAUGCAUGGGGAAGCGCCAUGACAUCUUGCGGAAAGCUUCACCCAGGCUCAAAGAGACGGACGGAUAUUUUGAAGACCCAAGGCUUACCUGCACAGCCACAAGUUGGCUUGGUUGGACAACAUGGUGACUCUGGACAGGCGGUGCUACGAGAUGUAGAAGAAUGGUAGGAUUGGAUGGGCACCGACAGAGGAUCAGAGGAAUCCGUUGAAAGACCAUGUUUUGAUCAUCCGGUCUUCAAACACCCUGAAGUGCGAGGACAUACACGGAGGCGAUCAAAUCUUGUGGGGAACGUGUGCAAAACUCUGCAGAGUACUCAAACCUAAUCGAUUAGCCGUGUCCAUGGUCAUGGACAACUUGAGCCAAAGGAACUGAAACUAUGAGGAAUUCUCAACACCAUUAACUUAUUGAUGUGGGUAAUAUUGAUAACUUGGGUAUGAGAAUUGGUUGGUGGAACCAUCUCAUUAACAACCAACCAUGUAGUAAUAUUUUUGAUUUUAGCCCUCUCUUGUUGUAGGAGAAAACUUUGCUUUCCGCUAAAAACUUACAAUUGCCAUAUACGCAUAUAGUAUAGAUGAUAUUUUAUCUUUCUCUUUUGUGACUUGCCGGCAUAUCAAUAUGCUGACCUACACGGCUGCAACGUCUUAUGUUGCAGAUACUUUCUUCGACGAGUAAAAGUACGAUUCAGGGUUACGGUCCGCACUCAACCUGCCGUUGGUGUUAUUUGGGACUCCACUCCCUUAACUGUUUACGCUGAGAUUUUAAGGUAUAUAUCAGUUUUACGUUAUUACAUGGGAUUGCACUUUUAUAUAUACAUUGAUGUACUGUGUGUGCCAGCAUACUGAUCCAGGGAUGGCACAGAUAUACAAAGGCUUGACUCGUUUUGAGUCGGGUCGCUACACAAAAUCUCCUCUGAAAGGGGUCAAAAACAUGGAAAAAACAGGAACUGGCACUUGGCACUGAGUUAAUAAGUUAGUCCCAAAAAAUAUAUAAAAGUCAUAAAAACAUCCAAAGUUUGACAAGAUAAUAGCAUGAAACCAUCAAAAACUAUAGAUACGUUGGAGACGUAUCAAGCAUCCCCAAGCUUAACUCUUGCUCGUCCUCGAGUAGGGAAGUGAUAAAGAAUGAAUUUUUGAUGUGGAAUGCUACCUAGCAUAGUUUUCCUUUGCAACUUCUUUCACGUGGCAUGAAUGUUCAGAUCCGUAAGAUUCGAAACAAUAGUUUGCUAUUGACAUGGAAACAAUAAUACUUCAAGCAAACUAGCAAAGUAAUCAUGAACUUUCAAAAUAACAAGGCCAAUGAAAGUUAUCCCUACAAAAUCAUAUAGUCUGGCUAUGCUCCAUCAUCCUCACACAACUAAUGUAAAUCAUGCACAACCCCGGUAUUGGCCAAGUAAUUGUUUUCGCACUCCUACUUUCUCAAACUUUUUAUAACUAUAACGCAAUACAUGAGCGCGAGCCAUGGAUAUAGCACUAUGGGUGGAAUAGAGUGUGGUGGUGGUUGUGAGACAAAAAAGGAGGAGAUGAUCACAUUGACUCGGCGUAUCAAUAGACUAUGGAGAUGCCCAUUAAUAGAUAUCAAUGUGAAUGAGUAGGUAUUGCCAUACAAGGGAUGCACUAGAGCUAUAAGUAUGUGAAAUCUCAAAAGGAAAACUAGUGGGUGUGCAUCCAACUUGCUUGCUCACGAAGACCUAGGGCAAUUUUGAGGAAGCCCAUCAUUGGAAUAUACAAGCCAAGUUAUAUAAUGAAGAUUCCCACUAGCAUAUGGUAGUGACAAAGCAAGAAGCUCUCAAUCAUGAAGAACAUGGUGCUAUCAUGAAGCACAAGUGUGGAAAAA